GCUGGGUGUGGCGGCGCACACCUGUAAUUCCAGCUACUCAGGAGGCUGAGGUGGGGGAAUCACUUGAACCCAGAAGGCGGAGGCUGCAGUAAGCCAAGAUCGUGCCACUGCACUCCAGCCUGGGUGACAGAGUGAGACUCCAUCUCAA
ensembl:misc_RNA Metazoa_SRP Metazoan signal recognition particle RNA